ensembl:lncRNA
GGAGGGCCAGGCCAACUCGUCAUCCGGUGACCGCCUCAGCUGCCCGAGGGACAGGAGGGACGCCCGCCUCCGCUGUGUCGCCAGGCCCGGUGUCGCCAAGCCUGCUGGCUGUGCUGUGGUCCCAGAAUAUACCCACGAGACAGAGCAUCGAGAAGCUGUGGCCCCAGGUAGAGAGAGCGUAGCACACAGGGGGCGCAGAGAGGAGCUUGGCCCCCACCCUUGUUCGUUAGGGGCCAGCGGCGGGGCACCGCCGGGCCACGGAAGGACCUGGGGGAGCAGGUCCCAACAAAUGUCAUUCAGACCAGCUGUUUUGGAAAGGGUCUGUUUGCCCAAGGAAGGUUGGAUGAUUCAAUCGGUUUAUUCAAAGGAGAAGGCAGGAAAUAGACGUGAUAAUCAGGGACCCAGGAGAGGGUUAUGGGAGCUGCCAAGCCCUGUCACCGUCCACAGUGAUUCUGGAACCCAAGAAGACAAAAUCUGUCACUGCUUCUCCUUUUUCCCUUUCUGUUUGCCAUGAAAUGAUAUGAUCUUAGUUUUUAAAUUUGACUUUCAGGCCAGUUUUUUCACUCUCCUCAUUCGCCCUCAUCAAGAGGCUCUUUAGUUCCUCUUUGUUUUCUGCCAUUAGAGUGGUAUCAUCUGCAUAUCUGAAGUUAUUGAUAUUUUUCCUGGAAAUCUUGAUUCCAGCUUGUGAUUCAUCCAGCCCAGCAUUUCACAUGAUGUACCCUGCAUGUAAGUUAAAUAAGCAGGGUGACAACAUAUAGCCUUACCGUACUCCUUUCCCAAUUCUGAACCAGUCAGUUGUUCUACAGUUCACGGGGUCGCAAAGAGUCGGACACGACUUAGUGACUUAACAACAACAACAGACGUGCUUUUCACAUUUGUUAUUUCACCCCAUGAGCAGUGGCAUUGUGCCCAGUCCACAGGGAAGGCGGGCAGGCUCUGGACAGUACACGACAGACCCAAGAGUAUCCCACUCUGCCUGUGAUAAAGCCGUCUUUCCUGGUGGCUCUCUUAGCCGUCUGUCCCUCUGCUUCAGGGCUGUAGCUAGCCUCAUGUACAAAAGGCACUGUAGGGGUGAGUCAGCCCGUGUCUGUCUGUCCAUCAAUCCCACUAGAAUAAAACCUCCACAAGGAAGGGACUUCCCUGGUAGUCCAGUGGUUAAGACUCCACACUCCGGAUGCAGAAGGCCCAGGUUCGACCCCUGGUCACGGAACUAAAUCCCACAUGCUACAAUGAAGGUAGAAGAACCUGCAUGCCGCAACUGUUAACAAGACCCAGCGCAGCC